rnacentral:rRNA from 1 species
GACGAAGGGGGCUAGCGUUGUUCGGAAUUACUGGGCGUAAAGCGCGUGUAGGCGGUUGCCCAAGUCGGGUGUGAAAGCCUUGAGCUCAACUCAAGAAAUGCACUCGGUACUGGGUGACUAGAGGACCGGAGAGGAUAGUGGAAUUCCCAGUGUAGUGGUGAAAUACGUAGAGAUUGGGAAGAACACCAGUGGCGAAGACGGCUAUCUGGACGGUUUCUGACGCUAAGACGCGAAAGCGUGGGGAGCAAACAGG